GAACGCUGGCGGCGUGCCUAACACAUGCAAGUCGAACGAACUUAUUCGCUGCAGAGACUUCGGUCAAAGCUUGAGUAAAGUAGUGGCGGACGGGUGAGUAACGCGUGGGCAACCUGCCUCAUACUGGGGGAUAACAGUUGGAAACGACUGUUAAUACCGCAUAAGCGCACAGCAUCGCAUGAUGCAGUGUGAAAAAACUCCGGUGGUAUGAGAUGGGCCCGCGUCAGAUUAGCUAGUUGGCGGGGUAACGGCCCACCAAGGCGACGAUCUGUAGCCGGACUGAGAGGUCGGACGGCCACAUUGGGACUGAGACACGGCCCAAACUCCUACGGGAGGCAGCAGUGGGGGAUAUUGCACAAUGGAGGAAACUCUGAUGCAGCGACGCCGCGUGAGUGAAGAAGUAUUUCGGUAUGUAAAGCUCUAUCAGCAGGGAAGAAAGGCUCGCAAGAGAGAUGACGGUACCUGACUAAGAAGCCCCGGCUAACUACGUGCCAGCAGCUGC
rnacentral:rRNA from 1 species